rnacentral:rRNA from 1 species
UACGUAGGUGGCAAGCGUUAUCCGGAUUUAUUGGGCGUAAAGAGAGCGCAGGCGGUCUUUUAAGUCUGAUGUGAAAGCCUUCGGCUUAACCGGAGUAGUGCAUUGGAGACUGGGAGACUUGAGUGCAGAAGAGGAGAGUGGAACUCCAUGUGUAGCGGUGAAAUGCGUAGAUAUAUGGAAGAACACCAGUGGCGAAAGCGGCUCUCUGGUCUGUAACUGACGCUGAGGUUCGAAAGCGUGGGUAGCAAACAGG